CGAGUGAAGAACGUAGACGUCCUAUACCGCUUGGGUUUGAUCCAUCUCUCCGACUUGGUGAUAACCCGCUCAAGCGCUUAGGCUUUACGUAAGUGGAGGAUGAGUGAAGAACGUAGACGUCCUAUACCGCUUGGGUUUGAUCCAUCUCUCCGACUUGGUGAUAACCCGUUCAAGCGCUUAGGCUUUACGUAAGUGGAGGACGAGUGAAGAACGUAGACGUCCUAUACCGCUUGGGUUUGAUCCAUCUCUCCUACUUGGUGAUAACCCGCUCAAGCGCUUAGGCUUUACGUAAAUGGAGGACGAGUGAAGAACGUAGACGUCCUAUACCGCUUGGGUUUGAUCCAUCUCUCCGACUUGGUGAUAACCCGUUCAAGCGCUUAGGCUUUACGUAAGUGGAGGACGAGUGAAGAACGUAGACGUCCUAUAUCGCUUGGGUUUGAUCCAUCUCUCCGACUUGGUGAUAACCCGCUCAAGCGCUUAGGCUUUACGUAAAUGGAGGACGAGUAAAGAACGUAGACGUCCUAUACCGCUUGGGUUUGAUCCAUCUCUCUGACUUGGUGAUAACCCGCUCAAGCGCUUAGGCUUUACGUAUUGGAGGACGCCCAACUUGAUCGAGCACAGAUACUUUCCCAAAGAGACCUUUUUUUUUUUUUUUUUUUUUUUUAGUUUGCAGUUUUGGCUCAUGCAAGCGAGUGAGCAUUUGGUGCCUUGUGCAUUUUUGGCUCUUGCAGGCGAAUGAACACUUGGUGCAUCGUGCAGUUUCAGCUCGUGCAGGCAAAUGAGCAUUUGGUGCCUUGUGCAGUUUAGGCUCGUGCAGGCGAACGAAGGAGCAUUUGGUGCUUUGUGCAGUUUAGGCUCGUGCAGGCGAACGAAGGAGCAAUUGGUGCUUUGUGCAGUUUAGGCUCGUGCAGGCGAAGGAGCGUUUGGUGCCUUGUGCAUUUUUGACUCAUGCAGGCAAAUGAGCAAUUAGUGCCUUGUGCAGUUUAGGCUCUUGCAGGCAAAGGAGCAUUUUGGUGCCUUAUGCAG
rnacentral:lncRNA from 1 species